rnacentral:rRNA from 1 species
UUGACCUCGGAUCAGGUAGGACUACCCGCUGAACUUAAGCAUAUCAAUAAGCGGAGGAAAAGAAACCAACAGGGAUUGCCCCAGUAACGGCGAGUGAAGCGGCAACAGCUCAGAUUUGGAAUCUGGCCCCCAGGGCCCGAGUUGUAAUCUGGAGAGGAUGCUUCUGGCGCGGCGCCGUCCGAGUUCCCUGGAACGGGACGCCGGAGAGGGUGAGAGCCCCGUACGGUCGGACGCCUAGCCGAUGUGAAGCUCCUUCGACGAGUCGAGUAGUUUGGGAAUGCUGCUCAAAAUGGGAGGUAAAUUUCUUCUAAAGCUAAAUACCGGCCAGAGACCGAUAGCGCACAAGUAGAGUGAUCGAAAGAUGAAAAGCACUUUGAAAAGAGAGUCAAACAGUACGUGAAAUUGUUGAAAGGGAAG